rnacentral:rRNA from 1 species
GACAGAGGGUGCAACCGUUGUUCGGAAUUACUGGGCGUAAAGCGCGUGUAGGCGGCAUGACAAGUCGGGUGUGAAAGCCCUGGGCUCAACCCAGGAAGUGCACUCGAUACUGUCGUGCUAGAGUCCCGGAGAGGGUGGUGGAACUCUCGGUGUAGAGGUGAAAUUCGUAGAUAUCGAGAAGAACACCGGUGGCGAAGGCGGCCACCUGGACGGUGACUGACGCUGAGACGCGAAAGCGUGGGGAGCAAACAGG